AAUAUCUGUCAAGCGUGCGGGACGACAUAAAAGGCGACCCAGUUACACCAUUCGCCUCUCGGUUCUCUCCUCCCUCUCUUCCAACACCCUGAAUCCAAGAAUCCCUGUCCCCUCUGAUCUCGUUCCAGCGGAAACCGACCCGUCCCACCCAGUUCUUCUACCAAUAAAAAAAAAAAAAAAAAAAAAACCCUAGUCUCCUCUACAUCGAAGAACUCGGAUUGGCACGCAUCUUUUACCGCGCGGGCGGGCUGCCACCCCCAUUGAAGCCCACGCGGGCCCUCAGAGGUGAAUCUUUCUCUUUUCCCCGGCUAUCCGUUUCAGAUAAAGCAUCUAAACGUCGCCACGCCGGCUCUCAGAGGUUCCAAAGGAAAUUUUCAAAGAUAGUUGGAUUUGUCGGCUGAUUAUUUUUACAAGAGAGAGUUCUCUAUGGAUGUGCGGCGAUUGCCUUCUCCUUGGCUUAUGAUUUCGGUCAGAGGCAUGACACCCCCCCCUAUUGAUCUUAUUUAUUCUUGUGAAUACGAUAACAAAAGAUUCUCAAUAUUUUUAUGAAUUUAGUAAUUUAAAUAUGGAAAUUAUCAUGAGUAAUUAUACAUGCCAAUAUCAUGUGUUUGUCUUUCAGAACUGUUUAUUGGUUAAUCUCAAAAUCUUCUACUGUUGAAGAGUCAAGUUAUGUAAUUAACUUAUUUACAUCUUUGAUUGCCAAUGUGUAACCUUUUUGGACCGCACUUGAUUUGGAAGCAUUGUUUUCUAUCACAUGAGUUUUCACUUCUUAUGAUGAUAAAUGCUUGGCCAUUAUAUGCUAUUUAAAUUUAGAUUGGUGUUCCUUAAUUUCGUUGAUUGUAUGAACAUAUACAUAUAUUCUUCAUUUUGUUGAUUGUGCUAGAAGUUUUUUUAUUGACAUGUUGAUCCUCUUAGGUUAAAAAAAAUUGUCCAAAUGAUGCCAGAUGCUACAAAGAGGUUGAAGGAAUGUUUAAAGGCUGUCCAGAAGCUUUGAUUCGAAGAAGCAAUUGCUGUUCAUGAAUUAGAAAGUGGGAAAAUAGCUAUGUAUCUUUCCAGAGGAAAUCAUGAAAGUAAGAGCAUCAACAAAAUUUCUGGUUUUGAGGGACAGGUCCGGUAAAAGUUGAGCGGAACAUCUGUUGAACUCUGCAGCAGUAUUUUGUUGUUUACCUUGGCUCAUGUCAUAAAUAGCAAGAUUUUUGUAGUUCAUGAAGGAUUAUUUAGUGUUGGUGGUAUGAAGCUCUCUGAUAUACGAGCUAUUGAUCAUUUUUGGGGGCCUAGUGAAGAAGGUCUUAGAAGCAUCUGAAAAAUGCCAUACUUGGAAAGCGCCAUGGAAAACACUUCCACCUCAGCCCCCCACCCAACCAAGAAGAAAAGGAAAAAUAGAGAGAACAUGCAUGCAUAGAGCAAUUCUACAGAAUAGAUCCUGCAUUGCAAGAAGAUGCUGUAUCGAUUAAGCACUCGAUUUCGGUAACACACCAUCGAUAUCUAUAAAAUGUACGAGGAGAUGAGUGCUUUAGGCUAGCCUGUGGGGUUGGAUAAUCUUGAUUAGAGCAGAGCUUCAUUUGUCACAUCCGUAGCAGAAUAUACUAACCAAUAGUUACGAUGUAGAGAAAAAAUCAGUCAUUAAAAAUCAGAUUAAUGUAACUAUUUGAAAGAUAAUUGAUUUGUGUAGUUUUUAAAAGUUGGCAUGUAGCAGUGACUUGACAAACAUUUUCAAAAAGAAUGAACAUUUUGAAAUCAUGCAUUUUAUCCCACUUCUUGCAACAUCUAGACUUCAAUAAACUUUGGCUUUUGCUAC